AGCGAACGCUGGCGGCAGGCUUAACACAUGCAAGUCGAGCGGGCACUUCGGUGUCAGCGGCAGACGGGUGAGUAACACGUGGGAACGUACCCUUCGGUUCGGAAUAACGCUGGGAAACUAGCGCUAAUACCGGAUACGCCCUUUUGGGAAAGGUUUACUGCCGAAGGAUCGGCCCGCGUCUGAUUAGCUAGUUGGUGGGGUAAUGGCCUACCAAGGCGACGAUCAGUAGCUGGCCUGAGAGGAUGAUCAGCCACACUGGGACUGAGACACGGCCCAGACUCCUACGGGAGGCAGCAGUGGGGAAUAUUGGAUAAUGGGCGCAAGCCUGAUCCAGCCAUGCCGCGUGAGUGAUGAAGGCCUUAGGGUUGUAAAGCUCUUUUGUCCGGGACGAUAAUGACGGUACCGGAAGAAUAAGCCCCGGCUAACUUCGUG
rnacentral:rRNA from 1 species